UGGUGGCCCUGGCAGUGCUGGGUCGAUGGUUGGACUCGAUCUUAAAGGUUUUUCCAGCUGAAAUGGUUUGGUUUUCCAGCUUUGCUGUUGGGACAGUGGUCGUGCACCCUCAGCACAAAGAAAUGGGAGAAAACUGUAACUGGAACACUUGGAAGUAGCGAGGAGAGUUUGUGACUCUGGUGCUGUUCAGCCAGGAAGGAGAAAUUCAGUUUGUCCCACCCCUGGCACCCCCAUUUCUCUGGGUCUCUCUGUCCUGACUCAGCACAUGCCCUUUGCUCCAGCCCUGGCUGUGCUGAACCAGCCUGGGCACACAUGGCAUCGCCCUCUCCAGUCCCCCAAAAUCACCGACCAAGGGACCCAUUGCUCACUGCCUCGUCACCCAAACACCUGGGGGGUGUUGUAAACUGUCUGUGGUGGGGUUUAUUAGCUCAGGGCAGUCUGGGGGCCGGGGCUGGUGGGUUCCCAGUGCCCUGGAGGGUCUGGGCUGGCCGAGUCAUGGGCGUUGCUGUAACCACUGCCCAGCAUCACCUCCGUGGGCAAACCCGUGAGGCAGAGUUUCCCUUUGGAGAUUUACAUGCACGUGGAGCGGGAGUGUUGGAAAAAGGAGGAACUUGGCAUGGGGAUGAGAUACAGAUGUUGCAGCUGUGAGCCCUGGGCUGGGAACAGGCUCGGAGCUGAGCAGCUCCGUGUGGCUGCACGGUCGGGUCGUGGUGCAGAAAUCCCCUCCCUCGCCCACCAAUUUCUCAGCUAAACUCAUUAAAGAGACUCAGAAUUCCCAGCUGGAAUGAGAAUGGCUAUUUGGAGGUUCCUGGGGACAUGCAGAGGUGGUACCCAGGCUGGUCAAAAGUCUCCUUGGUCACGUCACCUGGGAUCUUAUGCUAAUUGUUAUCGCGGUUAAUUUUUUUCCAAGCUAAAGUAUAGAUGGAUAAUGAGGGGCAGAGAAAGGGGAGGGAAUGGCCUUGUUAAUGCUCUGUAGAGAUAAUGUUCCCUGCUUCUGGCUGGGGGGAGCUUUGCCAACAACAGGAGCAUCUUUCCCUGCUGAGAUGACACCCAUUGUUCCCUGGAAAACUGGGUUGUGGGACUGAAGUGUUCUCUUUCCUCUUUCCUUUGUGUUUCCUACUGUCUGUGCUAAUAUUUCGAUAGGUGACCCAGGUUUGCAGAUGUGGUUGUUGGGGUGGUUUUGUGCUGUUUGAUUCCAUCUGUGCCCUGGUUGUCCCAGUUUUUCAGCACCACAGCAGCCACCCCUGGGCUGGGGCAGCCAACAAGCACAGUUUGGGGCCGAAGCCAUCGGGUUUCCUGGUUUCCACCUGAGCUCAUAAAUCACCCCAGAGCUGGAUUAAAGCUUAGCUUGGAUUCACUGGCAGCUCUGCUGUUUUCACUGAACCUUGCAGUGAUUUGGAUGGGAGCUGAAGAUUUAUGCAUAUUUGCAGAGCCCACGGUUCCAGGUCACAGCUUGGACUGAGGCAUUACCAGGGAAUCAUUGCUUCCCCCGGCAUCUUUGGUGGCCUCAGCUGAAGCAAGAGGUUGCUUGGAAAAUGAGUCCAGUGCUUAUCUCCCCUCUGAGCCUCCUCCUGAGUAGUGAGAGACUCGAGAAAAACAAGCCCAAAAAUGCUGGUAUCAACAUUGCUCGGGAAAAAUGGGAUCUGUCCUCGUUCUUAACUUGGACAAUGUCAGAUGUAACAAUGCUGGGAAGGGCACAUGGGCAGAUCAUGAGGAGAAAACAAAAAGUGGGCUGAAUACAGGUUUUAUUUUGCUUUUCUGAUCUCAAGACAUGCAAACAGGAGUCAUAGAAACCCCAGCUCUGCGUCCCUGACUGGGCUGAGAUGAUACCAGUGCUUGGACUGGGGUGAUAUCCCCCAAAACCUCCUGCCCCAGGGUAAUCCCUCCCUCAGGAAAGAUGACUUGGAUCACCAGCUGGUUUCAGGAAGGAGAAACUUCAAAGUCUCACAAGGACCAAGAGCCUCUCCUGCUUUUGCCCUCACUCCUCGAAAUUCCAGCUGAUUUCCAGUGAUGUGAUUUCAACACUUCCCCUGGUGUGAGCCUGGGGGAUGGCACUGCCUGCAGCACCCCUGGCACAGACUUCAGGCUCUCCAUGGACCUUACCACCAUGUGCCUGGGAUGCUGGAAUGUGGGGUCAUCAAGUGAUUACAGUGGUUGUCCCUGUGCAAAGCUGACCCAGUGCCGGUCACUCGGCACCACAGACCCUCCAUUUUCACAUAUCCCAGAGGACUUCAGCAUCCAGGGCAAACAAGCUGUUGCAGAAGGUCAUGUUGGCAUCUAAUGCUUGACACGAAGCUUGUAAGUCACUGAUGAUGGGAUUCAUCGAGGGGAAGGGAAAGGAAACCUCCCUUCUCACUUCAUCUUGCUUUCCUCACACCCAAUCCAAGCUCAUCUCUGGGGUGCAGAAGGUGGAAACUUCACCCCAAGGAGGAAAGGCUGGGGGAAAGUGUCCCAGCGAUGAACACCCCUCCCGGUGAACCCCCAAUUUUUGGUCAAAGCUGUGCUCUCUGCUUGCAAGCUCAUUUUUAAGGGCUAAAUUUAGUGGCACGUCUUGCAAUGACGCGCGCGGAGGAGGAUUUUGGGAUGUCACAUGGAUCGGUCUCAUUCCUGCGUGGGAAACUUCCAGCCUCUGCUACUUUCACUGUCUGGAACAAACGAGCACCUUCCUGCUGAUGCCAUCAGAGCACGUGAGCACCAGCCAGCCCUGGCAAUGUGCCCGUUCUGGGGAGCUGGAGGAGAGCAAGGUUGUGUAACUCGCUGGCAAAGGUGUGUGUGUCUAUUUGCAAUCCAUUGUGGCCUGCUCACGGGUUUAGCUCCAGAUCAGGGAUGGGAUUUAGUCACCCACCUCUCUGUAACUACUUUGGUAUGGAGAUGUUUCAUUAUGUUUUGUCCUCAGCUAAGCUUGGUCCAUCCUUUUGUGCUUGUCACUGGCCGAGACUGGGCACAAAGAUGUGCAGCAGUUUCAAGCAGCUGCCAGUUCCUGGUGUUGGUCAGAUCUUCAUGUUUUCAGCUCAGUUGGCUGAUUUACAAGUGCUAAAGUUGGUGAUCUUGCAUUCAGAUCUAACCCAGCCUGAGUUCAUAAAAAUGGCACAGUCACUGCACUGCCAACAAGUGCCUUCAAGAAGGAAUGUCAGUGCUCUAAAACCUUCUAAUGCUACUUUUGUGCUGACAAUGACUCAUAAAAGCUGGAAACCUCCAAAUUCUUUGGCCAGGUGGGAUGUCCCACUGAUGCUUUGAGGGUCUCACACUUGGGUGAGACUUUGAGUCCCAUCAGCCCAAGGGAUGAGUGGGUGGGUGGAGUCUCUUCAAGAAGGUCCAUCCACUGUGGAAGGUGGUCUUAUGGAAUCGUGGAAUUGUUAAGGUUGGAAAAGACCUUUGAGAUCAUCAAUUCCAGCUGUCAAAUGUUUUUUUCCCAGCCAUUAAAUAUUUUUAGCAACCUCACCUUUAACCCCUCUAAUGCACAUCAAUUAAAACCUGAACAUACCAUACAACAACCAGGUAAGAGCAUGAGCAAGACCCCAGUAUUCUGGUUUUUGGGGCAGUUUCGUGGCCAGCUUUGGCAGCCUGUUUAGUGGUGCCCUGUGAAAUGCUGAGGGCACCAUAACAACUCUCUGGGAUUGUUUUUUUAGGACAUGAGGGUGACAAAGCCCCAGGAUAACUGGAUUUUCAGACUGUGUUCCCAUGGCCUCACCUGUAGAUAUUUCUCCAUGUGAACUCGUCAUCAGUGCAUCCCCAGAGACAAUCCCUCAGGGCAGCUGGUGGCAUCAGCCCCUUCUCCACUGCGUGUGUCACAAAUCAAGUCCCCACAAGCCUCAUCCAGCGUGACUCCAGCGUUACUCACCGUGUUUAUUUUCCAUCUGACUUUUGCUUUUUUUCCAUUGCUGCACCUUCAGCAGCAUAAAUAGAAAUGGAUUUAUUUUUUUUCUUGAAACUUUAGACUUUUACUUUGUGAAGUGACAAAAGAAAACUGCAGAGAGUUGAAUGCAUCUGGCAAAAUCUUCGCUUUAAAAAAAAAAAAGAAUCAUUCAACUUUGCAGGAUGUUUCCAAGAGAAUAUGGGAAAAUGGAUUAUCUGCUCCAUUUGAAAAGGAAUUGCCUCUAAUUGACAAGAUGCAGAGGGGAAACUGUUGCUCUUAUUUAAACACAGCCCAAACCUGCAGCUCAUAAACUUAUUGUUAAUCUCAGGCUUGUGGUUCCUGCUCCUUUUCACUUUUCAUUUCAAAUCUAUUUGGGUUAUUUUUUUUUCCCCUUUUUUUGUCAUGCCCAACUCCUUUUCUGUCUCAGGUAAGUGGUCAGCUUUUCAAAACUUGUGUCCUCUUGCAUCCAGAAUCUGUGUUGUUGCACCAAAAUAUCCCAGGAUCACUUGGAUAUUUUGGAGGCUGCUGUUCAGGCACCUUCUCUGCAGUAUCUGGUCCAGGUCACACAGGGGCUGCUGCAAGCUGGAAUUACCCAUGAUUCCAGGUCAAAUGUCAUGGAAGGUCUCUGAUCCUACAGACAAAACACUCACAGCAUUUAGAAGGUGAGGAAGACGCCUCCAGUUAAGGUCUCAGAGGUGAAAAAAACCCCCCAUAUUUCCUUUUAAUUGAAUUUGGAAACUCCGCCUUCCCAAAAAAAGUCAAAUCAAACCCGAGGUGCAGGUCGGUGUGAGACAGAGCAGGGUGUUAAACAGGCAACCCACGUCAGCAAGGAGCUGGCUCCCAGUCAGGCAUCCACCUGGAAUCCCUGGGGGCAAGGAAGGAGGCUCCGGGAACGUGUUGGGACAAACAGAGCGGAGCCAUCCCGGAGAGGAGCUGCCACCCAACCAGGGAGUCGGGAGAGCGCCUUUGGAGCCACCCAAACGUCUCCUGUUUGAUCCCUUCCCACCAGGAGCAGGAUGAAAAUGUUCAUGCCAAGAAAUCUUCCCUCACCCCCCUCACCCCAGCAGGUUUGUUAUCCUAAUUGACUUACGGUGCUGAAUUAACCUGCUUGGAAAUGUGAUUGGCACCAGGAGUUUUCCACUGUGUGACAGACUUUAUAAUAAAGAAUUGGAGGAAUCAUAAAUAGCAGCAGUAUUAGAUCACUGGUGCUCAUGAACUCACCUUGUUUAGGGAAUGGUGUGGAAAAGAGGGUUUUCUCUUUGAUGGUGCAUCCUUAGAAACCGUGUCUGUGUUACUCUUUUGCCACAAUUAUUGUUUAUAAGAACUUCUGCUUCGUCAAAAAAAGAGAAAAACCCCCCCAAUUAUAAUAAAUCCACUUCAGUGUUUUCCAUAAGCUCCUAGCCAAGUUGGCCAAGAACUAAGGGAAGGAGCAGGGAAAAAAAAAGGUAUAUAUUGUAUACUCACUUAAAACUUGGCUAGAAAUGACCUUUUAUUGUCUUUUUUUUUUUUUUUUCCAUGCCCAACUUGGCUCCUCGAGCCAAACUCACUGCCAGCUUUCUAUGGUGUGUUAUUUUCCUAUGUGUUAAAAAACAUUUAAAAAGCUGCCCCACACGGGUUCUACAAAGGUUUUGCACGGGCAGGGGUGGAGAAGCCUGGCUUUGAGAGCGUCGUCGAUGAAGAUUCCCGUGAUAAAACCUGGAUAUUUAUUGUCUGGUGGUUUUUUUUUGGUUUUUUUUUGUGGCUCUUUUUAUUGCCCCCCCUGCUGCUCCUCGUGCAGCCCAACAUGGCAGGGUCUCCAAAUGGGCUGUGCUGACAAAUGCAGCUGGAGACAGCCAUGUGAUGUUAAUAUAAACCUCCUCUGGCAGCUUGGAGAGGCACCAGGAAAUCUCCGGAGUGUUUCCCGCCGCUCCCGGCUCCGCUCGGUGCCACUCGGCCCCUGGGCCCGCGGGCUGGGUCACCACAACAUGUGUCCUCUUGUGUCUGAGCACAUCCCUGGCUUUUCAUACAGGGAAAAAAACCCCAAAAAACCCAAACCAAACGAUUCUGGGUUCCGAAAACCAACCCCCCAAAGGAGUUCCUGUCAUUCCGGCUCAUCCGUGAGCGUCCGGCUGCGGAGUCAUGCCAGAACAAAAUCUGCAGCAAUCUUUACAGCUGAAGGGUAUUUUCUCUUGGAAUCCCUCAUUAAAAGCACCACUUUGGGAUAAAUAUAAUGACCAAAGUCUCAAGCAUAUUCUUAUUUGGGAUCAUUUCAUCUUAGAAAGGAAGGAAAAUGAUUUAAAGCUUUGAUACAAUUCUUCUUGUGGUCGUGCACUUUAGGUUUGUGUUUCACUGAAUUUACUUCAGAGACAUGUUUAACUUCUUUUCUUUUUCAAUUUUUUUUUUUUUUUUGAUAUUUAAUUUCAUUUUUGGUUUUUAUGCAGCCCCACAAUGUUGUUUUUGUGGUGAGCUGCCGUGGUGUUACCAAUGCAUCUGAACCACUGCAGGCAGGAAGGCAGCCACUUGAAAGCAACAAAGAGGGCAAGUCUGCCCCAGCUUUUAUUUCCUGUAUGCAUUUUGCCCUCUCUAAAGUUACACAGAGGGUAAAUCUCUCAGAUCUCCUGAUCCUGCAGCUGCUUAUAAGUACAUUUAAUUUUAUGAUGCAGCAGCACAAGCUGAAUGCAGCUAUAACACAGAAGUACAAGCUCUAACUUUUGAAUGUCAUUUAGAAAUCCAGCGAUGGAAAAGGAAAUAAAAGUGAUAUUUCUGUGUGUUGUGCAGUUUUGGGGGUUUCCAGGUCUCUCAACUCAGACUCCCCAGGUUCCUCGACGAUUCCAGAGAGCAGAUGGACAGUUGGGCUCAAUGACUCUUGUGGGUCCCUUCCAGCUCAGGAUAUUUUGAGAUUCUAAGAUUUUGAGUCUCACCUUGCCUGGCAUCUCUGCAGCAGUGAAAGGAACUCAACAGAAGCUCUUCCCUGUGGAUCAGCCCUUACCUUUCCCCUGCUCAGAGACUGCAGAAAGCCAGAAUCAAUCAGCUAACUGAAGGAUUUAUAUUGGAACUGGAUCCCCAUGGAUCAGAACUGGAAUAACACCUCCAUCCCUGCCCGAAUCUUCCCGGCCUGACCUUUCACAAUCUCCACUUCCUGACCAACGACUCCAAAGAAAAUAGAGCUGCUCGUUGGCAUUUAAUGGAAACCUGCACAAAACUUGUCAAAAUACCCCCCUCCACCCCUGCCAGCUGCCUGGGACAAGACCCCUACAGUAGUUUCCAGAAACCCUGUGCAAUUACUUACAUUUUAAAUUAUCUUUAAUUGUCGCAUGUGAGCCGCAGAAACAUUUUUUCCCCACUCUCAGGCAAGACCUCGCUAUUAAGAGUCACCCCAUAAUUGCAGGUUUAAUGGGGGGCUGUGGCAGGUCAGGCCUGAGGGUGAGCCCAGGGCACAGCGAGGCGAGGGCGGCUGCAGGGCCCAGUGACUGGGGGUGACACAUCACCAUGGGCCCAUCAAUUACCUGGGGGCAGCUGGGAGUGUAAACUUUUUAGCCAAUCUAAUUACCCUGCCAGAUGUUUUAAUCCAAUCUCCUCGCCCCUCCCCUGCCAGCAAACGCUGCAUUGUCUGAGCUCCCGGGAUUAAAAAGUCGCUUUUUAAUUUUUUUAACCAAGAGUGAACUUCUUGAGGUUUUGUGGUGGUUUGUUUUU